rnacentral:rRNA from 1 species
UACGGAGGGGACUAGCGUUGUUCGGAAUUACUGGGCGUAAAGCGCACGUAGGCGGAUUUGUUAGUCAGGGGUGAAAUCCCGAGGCUCAACCUCGGAACUGCCUUUGAUACUGCAAAUCUCGAGUCCGGAAGAGGUGAGUGGAAUUCCUAGUGUAGCGGUGAAAUGCGCAGAUAUCAGGAGGAACACCUAUUGCGAAGGCAGCUCGCUGGGACGUAACUGACGCUGAGACGCGAAAGCGUGGGGAGCAAACAGG